rnacentral:rRNA from 1 species
UGGGGAAGUAUUGCACAAUGGGGGAAACCCGUACGAUGCAGCGACGCCGCGUGGAGGAAGAAGGUCUUCGGAUUGUAAACUACCUGUUGUUGGGGAAAAGUUACGGAUGGUACCCAACAAGGAAGUGACGGCUAACUACGUGCCAGCAGCCGCGGUAAAACGUAGGUCACAAGCGUUGUCCGGAAUUACUGGGUGUAAAGGGAGCGCAGGCGGGUAUGCAAGUUGGAAGUGAAAUACAUGGGCUCAACCCAUGAACUGCUUUCAAAACUAGCAUAUCUUGAGUAGUGCAGAGGUAGGCGGAAUUCCCGGUGUAGCGGUGGAAUGCGUAGAUAUCGGGGAGGAACACCAGUGGCGAAGGCGGCCUACUGGGCACCAACUGACGCUGAGGCUCGAAAGUGUGGGUAGCAAACAGGAUUAGAUACCCUAGU